AGCGAACGUUAGCGGCGCGCCUAACACAUGCAAGUCGCACGAGAAAGGGAGCAAUCCCCGGUACAGUGGCGCACGGGUGAGUAACACGUAGAUGACCUUCCCUGGAGUGGUGGAUAACCUGCCGAAAGGCGGGCUAAUACAGCAUGGGACCACAUGGUUUUGACCGAGUGGUGAAAGCGGGCCUCUGUUCACAAGCUCGCGCUCUGGGAUGGGUCUGCGUCCCAUCAGCUAGUUGGUGAGGUAAUGGCUCACCAAGGCAUCGACGGGUAGCUGGUCUGAGAGGAUGACUAGCCACACUGGAACUGAGACACGGUCCAGACUCCUACGGGAGGCAGCAGUGGGGAAUCUUGCGCAAUGGGCGAAAGCCUGACGCAGCGACGCCGCGUGGGUGAUGAAGGCC
rnacentral:rRNA from 1 species